UCUCCCAUAGCUUAGUUGGUAGAGCGCAAUGCUUAUAUUGAGGCAUUCUCGGAAGCCCAUAUGCUUUGGAAGCACAAUCUCGAAAGAGACGUUGAUGUCAGGGGUUCGAGCCCCCUUGGGAGAA
rnacentral:tRNA from 1 species